rnacentral:rRNA from 1 species
UCGAACGAGUUCUCGUUGAUGAUCGGUGCUUGCACCGAGAUUCAACAUGGAACGAGUGGCGGACGGGUGAGUAACACGUGGGUAACCUGCCCUUAAGUGGGGGAUAACAUUUGGAAACAGAUGCUAAUACCGCAUAGAUCCAAGAACCGCAUGGUUCUUGGCUGAAAGAUGGCGUAAGCUAUCGCUUUUGGAUGGACCCGCGGCGUAUUAGCUAGUUGGUGAGGUAAUGGCUCACCAAGGCGAUGAUACGUAGCCGAACUGAGAGGUUGAUCGGCCACAUUGGGACUGAGACACGGCCCAAACUCCUACGGGAGGCAGCAGUAGGGAAUCUUCCACAAUGGACGCAAGUCUGAUGGAGCAACGCCGCGUGAGUGAAGAAGGCUUUCGGGUCGUAAAACUCUGUUGUUGGAGAAGAAUGGUCGGCAGAGUAACUGUUGUCGGCGUGACGGUAUCCAACCAGAAAGCCACGGCUAACUACGUGCCAGCAGCCGCGGUAAUACGUAGGUGGCAAGCGUUAUCCGGAUUUAUUGGGCGUAAAGCGAGCGCAGGCGGUUUUUUAAGUCUGAUGUGAAAGCCCUCGGCUUAACCGAGGAAGCGCAUCGGAAACUGGGAAACUUGAGUGCAGAAGAGGACAGUGGAACUCCAUGUGUAGCGGUGAAAUGCGUAGAUAUAUGGAAGAACACCAGUGGCGAAGGCGGCUGUCUGGUCUGUAACUGACGCUGAGGCUCGAAAGCAUGGGUAGCGAACAGGAUUAGAUACCCUGGUAGUCCAUGCCGUAAACGAUGAAUGCUAGGUGUUGGAGGGUUUC